AUGGCCAUGGUAAACAGUCUAACGAACGUAAAAGAUUCCCGUUGGCUUCAGUUAGAAGUAUGUCGAGAGUUUCAAAGAAACAAAUGUACCCGUCCCGACACAGAGUGCAAGUUUGCUCAUCCACCUGCCAACGUUGAAGUGCAAAACGGACGUGUCAUCGCUUGCUAUGACUCAACCAAGGGUCGAUGUAAUCGUGAGAAGCCACCCUGCAAAUACUUCCAUCCGCCCGAACAUCUUAAAAACCAAUUACUAAUUAAUGGUCGUAAUCAUUUAGUCCUGAAGAAUGCUCUCCUUCAACAGUUGCCCCUCCAACCAGUGUUGCCAGCUGCUGUGGUAAGUGCUCUUCCAAGUCUUCUGUAUGCUCCCCUUGCCCAUCAGCAGCGUGCCACCAUUUCCUCUCUCCUCAAUGUUAUCAAUUCUAAGGCUAGCACAAAUCCAUAUUUAGCAAAUUUACCAGCAAUGGCAACAACAUCAUUUAAUCCAUACUUAACACCAACACCAAUGAUGCCUGGCAUGGUCCCUGCUGAUGCUAUGGCUGCACCUCUCAGUGUUGUCCCUACACCUUUAGUUGCAUCUCAAAAAGUAUCUCGCACGGAUCGAUUAGAGGUUUGCCGUGAAUAUCAGCGCGGUAACUGCAAGCGUGCCGAAACUGAGUGUCGCUUUGCUCAUCCCCCUGAUCAUGUGACAGUCGACAGUACUGAAGGCAUGGUGACAGUCUGUAUGGAUUUUGUAAAGGGCCGAUGCACGCGGGAACAGUGUCGAUACUUCCAUCCCCCUCCACACUUGCAAGCACAGCUAAAGGCUGCCCAGAGUAGAGCUAACGCCGCUGCUGUGCCGCACGUGGUCGAGACCUUGGUCGGCAAGAAGCGCCCCCGUGACCAUGCUGAUGACCUCAUUCUGAUUCCCAGUGCUGAGCAGGGUGUGUGUGGCACCCUUUUCCAGGCAUUUCCCGGUAUGGUGCCCUACACUAAGCGUCCAGCACUAGAUAAAAGUGGAAUACCAGUUUAUCAACCAUCCACUGCGGCAUACCAACAGGCACUAGCCAUGCAAGUUCAGCAGCCUUUUGUACCAGUUUCAUUUGCUGGACACCCUACCAGUUUGCCGAGAUUUUAAAUCUAGCCAAUGUAAGAGACCACAAUGCCGUUAUGUACAUCUAGUGGAAGAUUAUGUUGAAGUGGUGGAUGGAAAAGU
rnacentral:misc_RNA from 1 species